GCGUGAGUGAAGAAGGCCUUCGGGUUGUAAAACUCUUUCACCUGUGACGAUAAUGACGGUAGCAGGAGAAGAAGCACCGGCAAACUCUGUGCCAGCAGCCGCGGUAAGACAGAGGGUGCUAGCGUUGUUCGGAAUGACUGGGCGUAAAGGGCGCGUAGGCGGUUAAUCAAGUCAGAUGUGAAAGCCCCGGGCUUAACCUGGGAACUGCAUUUGAUACUGGUUGACUGGAGUACGAGAGAGGAAAGCGGAAUUCCUAGUGUAGAGGUGAAAUUCGU
rnacentral:rRNA from 1 species